GUGUAGAGUGGAGCUUGUUGUUGGUGUGUGUGAAGAAACUCUGAAGAAGAUCAAGAAGGUUCUGAGUCCAGAUUACCCAGAAUGCUUUGAGAGUCGGAGAGAGGAUGAUAAGGAGAGGAGCAGCAGAAAGGCAUUUGUGAAGAUCACAGUGGAAGAAAAUGAAGCAGGAGGAGCUGGCUGAGAGUCUGCAGAGCAAAAACCCUGCAGUUUGUCAACGUAACCUUAAAUCUACUCUGAAGAAGAAGUUCCAGUGUGUGUUUGAGGGGAUCGCUAAAGCAGGAAACACAACCCUUCUGAAUCAGAUCUACACAGAGCUCUACAUCACAGAGGGAGGGACUGCAGAGGUCAAUGAUGAACAU